rnacentral:rRNA from 1 species
AACGAACGCUGGCGGCAGGCUUAACACAUGCAAGUCGAGCGCCCCGCAAGGGGAGCGGCAGACGGGUGAGUAACGCGUGGGAAUCUACCCAUCUCUACGGAAUAACGCAUGGAAACGUGUGCUAAUACCGUAUACGUCCUCCGGGAGAAAGAUUUAUCGGAGAUGGAUGAGCCCGCGUUGGAUUAGCUAGUUGGUGGGGUAAAGGCCUACCAAGGCGACGAUCCAUAGCUGGUCUGAGAGGAUGAUCAGCCACACUGGGACUGAGACACGGCCCAGACUCCUACGGGAGGCAGCAGUGGGGAAUAUUGGACAAUGGGCGCAAGCCUGAUCCAGCCAUGCCGCGUGAGUGAUGAAGGCCCUAGGGUUGUAAGGCUCUUUCACCGGUGAAGAUAAUGACGGUAACCGGAGAAGAAGCCCCGGCUAACUUCGUGCCAGCCGCCGCCGUAAAAC